AGUUUUAUUACUGUAUAAAUAAUCUUAAUAAAGUAACAAAAUUUAAACAUUGGUUUUUAUACCUAUAAUAAAGGCAACAACUCUUUCAUGCCUUGUAUAAUUUUUUUUAAACAUGACACAUAUUUCUUAAACUUUCCAAAUUCUGUAAACAAAAGUUCCAUUUCUGUUUUUUGUGUACAUUAACCUCAUAACUAACAAACAAAAUAAUUAUUUUUAGGGAAAUACACUUUCUUUAUAAACUUGAAAAAGUCAAGAUUUUUUUAAUAUGUACACCUACUAAAUUACAAAUACAAAUUUAUUAAUGCCCCAGAAGUAAAAUAUCAAUCUCAAAAUGUUUGCACAAACUUCUGAAUAGUUUAGCAACAGAUUAGAACAAUAAGGAGGUUUGUAACAAACAACAGUGAUAUUGGAAUACAAAGAAUUAUCCAUGUGGAC
rnacentral:lncRNA from 1 species